GACGAACCGUGCGAACGUUAUUCGGAAUCAUUGGGCUUAAAGGGCGCGUAGGCGGGUCGACACGUCGGAACUGAAAUCCCCCGGCUCAACCGGGGAACGGGCCCCGAUACGAUCGACCUCGAGGUGAGAAGGGGGACCUGGAACGUCCGGUGGAGCGGUGAAAUGCGUUGAGAUCGGACGGAACGCCGAUGGCGAAAGCAAGGCUCUGGGCUCAUAUCUGACGCUGAGGCGCGAAAGUCAGGGGAGCGAACGGG
rnacentral:rRNA from 1 species